rnacentral:lncRNA from 1 species
CGACCUCCCCAGCACCCCAGGCCUCUGCCCGGCCUCCCAGAGGGGACAGCAGAGCUGGCCCUAAAAAUAGCUCCUCUCCGAGCUGGCCUGUCCCUCACUGUCCCCUCCCCAGCGGAAAUCUCCCAGUGACAUGGCGGGGGGGGAAGGGCGGCCACCGCUGCCAGCCCCACCCCGAGUGUGAGCCUCCAGGUCAGCCCACAGCUGGGGUCCCGCCCUCUCCGGGCCACCCAGGGGAGCAGCGGGCGUCCAGGGUCUGCCCCGGCGUCCAGAUGUGGCCUGGGCCUUCCUCCUCCUAGGUUGGUGGCAGGAGGCGAGUUGCCGCUCUCUGGGGCUCCGUGUCCUCUGGCUCACAGGGUCCCCGCUCUCCUGAGGCCACCGCCUCCUCUCCCCAGUGCUGGCCCACGACGCGUGCUGAGGACAGGGCUGCCCCUGGCCAGGGUCAGGGCUGCUGGGGGCUGAGUGGGGACCCAGGAGGCUCCUGGCGGUGGCAGCAGCCCCAGGGGCCAGGGGAGACUGGCUUCUACGUGCCGGGACACGGGCAGUCACUGUCCCAUGUUCCUGGCGGAGGGCCAGCUGUCCCUGCCAGCCCGACUCAGCACUUGAUCGGGACCGGCUUGGCGAUGGGGGCCGGGCCCGCCCGGGGACAGCCCAUACAAGGCCAUGGGCUGGGCGAGAGGCCCGCCUGGGUCCAGGGUGGGCACGGCGCCCGGGCAAUGGGGUGAGAGGCCCCGCGCCUCCAGGUCCCCUCCCUGGGGACAGCCCUCUAUAUAGGGCCAGGGCUGCAGGCCCCUCCCGGGUCACAGUCGCCUGCAGGACACAGAGAGCCCCUUCAGCCCAGCCCAACCAGACUUGAUAUUCCUGCAGCAGGAGCUGUGGGGCAGGGGGAGGGGUCCCCAGGGACAAACCGGGUCUGGACAGCUGCUCACCGUCACCCCCUGCAAGGCGCGGGUGGCCCAGGCCUGUGUGCAUGACGGUCUGUCACCAGAACUGGGCGCCCGGCCCCAGGAGGCGUCUGUGUCUGCAUGUCACCUGUCGGGGCUGCAAAAGCAGCUACCGGGGGCGCUUGGGUGGCAUGGGCUCCCGUGGUGUCCCUGUGACCUUGUGCCUGACUUCUGUGACUCUCCUUUGCAUGCCUCUGCCUUGGCGUGGCCCCAGCCUGGGGGUGU